rnacentral:misc_RNA from 1 species
GAUGAAGAACGCAGCGAAAUGCGAUAAGUAAUGUGAAUUGCAGAAUUCAGUGAAUCAUCGAAUCUUUGAACACACAUUGCGCCCCUUGGUAUUCCGAGGGGCAUGCCUGUUCGAGCGUCAUUAUAACCCCUCAAGCUCAGCUUGGUGUUGGGGCCUGCUGCACUGGCAGCCCUUAAAAUCAGUGGCGGCGCCAUCUGGCUCUAAGCGUAGUAAUUCUUCUCGCUAUGGAGUCCUGGUGGAUGCUUGCCAUCAACCCCCAAUUUUUCUAUGGUUGACCUCGGAUCAGGUAGGGAUACCCGCUGAACUUAAGCAUAUCAAUAAGCGGAGG